rnacentral:rRNA from 1 species
CACGUAGGGCGCAAGCGUUGUCCGGAAUUAUUGGGCGUAAAGAGCUCGUAGGCGGACUGUUACGUCCGCUGUGAAAAGCCAGGGCUUAACCCUGGCCUUGCAGUGGAUACGGGCAGACUAGAGGUAGGUAGGGGAGAAUGGAAUUCCCGGUGUAGCGGUGAAAUGCGCAGAUAUCGGGAGGAACACCGGUGGCGAAGGCGGUUCUCUGGGCCUUACCUGACGCUGAGGAGCGAAAGCGUGGGGAGCGAACAGG